GUAGGUGGCAAGCGUUGUCCGGAAUUAUUGGGCGUAAAGCGCGCGCAGGCGGUUCUUUAAGUCUGAUGUGAAAGCCCACGGCUCAACCGUGGAGGGUCAUUGGAAACUGGAGAACUUGAGUACAGAAGAGGAAAGCGGAAUUCCACGUGUAGCGGUGAAAUGCGUAGAGAUGUGGAGGAACACCAGUGGCGAAGGCGGCUUUCUGGUCUGUAACUGACGCUGAGGCGCGAAACGCGUGGGGAGCAAACAGGGAUUAGAUACCCUGGUAGUCCACGCCGUAAACGAUGAGUGCUAAGUGUUAGGGGGUUUCCGCCCCCUUAGUGCUGCAGCUAACGCAUUAAGCACUCCGCCUGGGGAUACGGCCGCAAGGCUG
rnacentral:rRNA from 1 species